UUUCCGUAGGUGAACCUGCGGAAGGAUCUCUAUCGUACAAACUGUGAGGGGCAUUCGAGGGCUGUCGCCGACCCAAAAGUCGAUCACGCCCGAGUGUGUCCUCUUGCAUAAUAAUCCAUCUCACCCUUUGUGCUUCACCGCGUGGGCACCCUUCGGGAUCAUCUCGGAGGGGGGCUCGCGUUUUCACACAAACACCCCUUUUAAAAGUGUAGAAUGACCACCUUUCUGCAAUCAAUACAACUUUCAACAACGGAUCUCUUGGCUCUC
rnacentral:misc_RNA from 1 species